UACGUAGAAGACUAGUGUUAUUCAUCUUUAAUAGGUUUAAAGGGUACCUAGACGGUAUAAUUAGUCUUAAACAGGAUACGAUUAUACUAGAGUUAUAUAUGAGGAGGUGAGUAUUUAUGCAGUAGAGUUGAAAUUCGUUGAUAGCAUAACGACUGGUAACGGCGAAAGCAACCUUUUAUCUAAUAACUGACGUUGAGGGACGAAGGCUCGGGAUAACGAACAGG
rnacentral:rRNA from 1 species